CUUUGUCUUCUUAGAGAGUCAAGGCUGGGGGGCUGUCAAGAGACAAGAAGCCCAUUGCAACACUAUCUGUGUGAUUUUGGGCUAUACAAAAAUAAAUUGUAUUGUCAACAGUUUACUGUAUGUCAGUAUUUUAUAUUUGUCUUUGAUUAAUUUUUUUACCCCUUGUAUUAGGGCCAUCCAAGUCAGAUAAAUAGCCAUGACUGUGGAAUUCCCAUGUUGAUGGUGUGACCAUUUCAUAUUGUAACUAUCUUUCUGUGUAUGUCUGUAUUUAAUGUUGUGUCCAGGUUUCCAAAGGAUCAUUUUGUGGUGUCUCUGUAUUUCAUCCUCAAACCCCCCUUCACUUUUAAUGAGCAUACUGUCCCAAGUGGUUUAGAUGUUCCAGAAACGCCUACCUUUCAAAAUCCAGAUAUUUUAAAUUCCUCUUUAGAAUGACAUGCCGGCUUUGAGGAAGUGCUGGUGUAGAAUGUUACUUGAGAACUCCAGCCCAAGG